GAUAAUUAUUGGUGGGAAAAAAUAAAAAUAAACUCAAUAGUAGUAAUGGAGAUUCCCGCCCCCUAUCAAGGUUUUGUCACAGACAGAGAGAAUGGUGAAGGCUUCAGCGGCGUCGUCGUCCAAGAAAAACUCAGAGCCAGAUGUCCUAGAGCGAAAGAGAUUAAAGAAACUAGCACUCUCCAACAAUCUCUUAUCGGAGACCCCAGCAAAGACCUAUUCGCCACUCGCUCCGUCAAAAACCGUCUUAAAACACCACGGCAAAGAUAUUCUCAGGAAAUCUCAGAGAAAGAAUCGGUUUCUCUUCUCUUUUCCUGGUCUUCUUGCUCCUAUUGCCUCCGGCGGCAAGAUUGGGGAGCUCAAGGAUUUGGGAACCAAAAACCCCAUUCUUUAUCUCCAUUUCCCUCAGGGGCAAAUGAAGCUGUUUGGUACUAUUGUCUAUCCUAAGAACAGAUACUUGACAAUGCAAUUCUCUAGAGGUGGCAAGAACGUUAUGUGUGAGGAUAACUUCGAUAGCAUGAUUGUGUUUUCUGAAGCUUGGUGGAUUGGAACACAAGAAGAGAACCCAGAAGAAGCACGACUUGAUUUUCCCAAGCAAUUGAUUGAGGGACAAGGACCACAAGUUGAAUGUGACUUUAAGGGAGGGGCAGGUGCAAUGUCUGCAAUUAAGCAAGCUGUUAACAGAAGUGCUACAAAAUAUGAAGAAAAGUCCCCUGAAACUGAGCCUGAAAAUUAUUCAUCAGAUGAUAAAAACAAUUUGAAAGCUUUGGAGGGAACUACGCCAAUUCAACAUUCUGAGAGAACUGCUAGGAAAACAUUCAAGUCUACUGACGUUUCUUCUGGUGAUGAUUCUGUUGAAAGUGUAGCGGCUGAGGAAGGAGGAGAAGAAAAGAAGGUAAAAUCUCCUCCUGGUUCCACCAUAGUCCUUGACCUUGACAAUGAAGGUUCAAUAGGAGGGAAUCAUCUUUCCCCACAAAUUCAAGCACAUGCUAUGUCGGAGACAAAGUCUAAAAGGGUCUCAGAAUCUGCUGUCUUAGCAGCAACGUCUAAUGAAAAUUCACACUCUAAUCGUGGUUCACUUGUUCAAGCUACAAUAUCCACAUUAUUCAAUAAAGCACGUGGAAAAAAGAAAGUGGAAGAAAAGAAUGAGCCAAGAAAUUCAAGGAUAUCCUCAUCAUCAAAAAGGAAGAUUGAUCAGGCUGGAGGGCCGAGAAAAAGAGGAAAAUUGACUGAAGGGAAAAAAGCUGGUACAGGAAUUAAGGAAAAGAAGGAAAUUUACGAGAUUCUACCAAGAAGUGGCUAACAUGGUAAAGGAACCUUGUAGGUUGAAGAUGAUGACAUUGAAGAAUUCUCAAGCUCAACCCAGGAGGAUACUGAAGGAAGUGAUGAAGAUUGGGAAGCUUGAGAUUGUAACUCAACCUGAGUGGAUGAAAGUACCAUUUUAACCUUGUACAGCAUAUAAGCCUCCAAUAAAAAAAAAAAAAAAAAAUUUAAGGAUUUUUUUAAUUGCCAGAUGAAAUAUAUAUAUUUAUGCAUGCAUGCAUGCUUGCUUGCUUCCUUACCA